GACUUCGUGUGGAGAUUUCAUCUGAGCUAAAGGUCUCGCCGAUAAUCCGAGUAGAGGUUAAAGCUAUAAGAUUUCGCAAUAAGAAUUGUUUAUAAAUAUAUUCAAUGCGAAAGGUUAAACAGGUAUGUACUCCAAGUUUAUAUGUGAGCUUGAUUUGAACUAAAUCAUAAGGUAGUUAUGUGAUGCAUACGUGAGCAAUCUAUGAGACUAUUC
rnacentral:lncRNA from 1 species